rnacentral:lncRNA from 1 species
GAUGAAGAUUUGUAGCAUUAGGAUAAUAGCGGUCUUAUAGGUUUGAGUGAGUGGUUGGUCGGAUAAUAUAAUUUACGGGCUAAAUUAAUCAAAAGAUAGAUCUAACGGUAAACAGCUUACGAGCAUUAAGUGCUUGAUAUUUUUAAAACCACCGGACCCGAACUCUCUCUCUCUCUCUCUCUCUCUAUAUAUAUAUAUAUAUAUAUAUAUAUAUAUAUAACUACUAUGCUAUCGAAAUUAUAGAGGAUUUGAUGUUUUCGAAUUUUUGACUUUUUGAUUAAGAAUUGUAUAGUUGGGAUGAUUGCGGUCCCUCUUAGGAUUAAAUAAUAUCCCUAGGAUUGAGUGGUCCCUCCAAGAUAAUAAUAGUAUUAAUCCAAAAAUAAGAAAUGAUUAAAGCGGUUGAUCUAAGAAUCAAAAAAUCGAAAUCGAAAGCAUCAGAUCUUUUAUACUUUCGAUAGCAUAAUAGAUAUAUAUAUAUAUAUAUAUAUAUAUAUAUUCGAGCUUUUCGAGCUUUUCGAGCCUAAUUCGAACGAGCCGAGUAAUGCUCAAGCUCGGCUUAAAAUGAAUUUCGAGCUUUUUUUUUUUGUUC